rnacentral:SRP_RNA from 1 species
CCGUGCUAGACGGGGAGGUAGCGGUGCCCUGUACCCGCAAUCCGCUAUAGCGGGGUUGAAUUCCUGUUUUCGGUCUUGUCGAUGUGGGGUCUGACUUUUACACGAAGUGUUGACGGUCGGGUCCUCCGCAAUGGACGCUUGUGAACCCGGUCAGGUCCGGAAGGAAGCAGCCGUAAGCAAGAUGGUUCAUGUGCCGGAGGAGUGCCUGACCCGAGCUAACCGGUAAGGGUUCCGCCCGGAUCGCAAGGUCAACGGCAGGUGCACGG